GAUGAACGCUGGCGGCGUGCUUAACACAUGCAAGUCGAACGAGAAGUGGAGACGGAAACCUUCGGGCGGAAGACUUUACUUCGAGUGGCGGACGGGUGAGUAACGCGUGGGUAACCUGCCUCAUACAGGGGGAUAACAGUUGGAAACGACUGUUAAUACCGCAUAAGACCACAGCACCGCAUGGUGCGGGGGUAAAAACUCCGGUGGUACGAGAUGGACCCGCGUUCGAUUAGCCAGUUGGCGGGGUAACGGCCCACCAAAGCGACGAUCGAUAGCCGAUCUGAGAGGAUGACCGGCCACAUUGGGACUGAGACACGGCCCAAACUCCUACGGGAGGCAGCAGUGGGGAAUAUUGCACAAUGGGGGAAACCCUGAUGCAGCGACGCCGCGUGAGUGAAGAAGUAUUUCGGUAUGUAAAGCUCUAUCAGCAGGGAAGAAAAUGACAGUACCUGAGUAAGAAGCCCCGGCUAACUACGUG
rnacentral:rRNA from 1 species